rnacentral:rRNA from 1 species
GACGAACGCUGGCGGCGUGCUUAACACAUGCAAGUCGAGCGCGGCCCUCCUUCGGGGGGUGUCCGAGCGGCGAACGGGUGAGUAACACGUGGGCAACCUGCCCCCGGCUCCGGGAUAACCCCAAGAAAUUGGGGCUAAUACCGGAUACGACCGCUGACCGCAUGGUCUGGUGGUGGAAAGAUUUAUCGGCUGGGGAUGGGCCCGCGGCCUAUCAGCUUGUUGGUGGGGUAGUGGCCUACCAAGGCGACGACGGGUAGCCGGCCUGAGAGGGUGACCGGCCACACUGGGACUGGGACACGGCCCAGACUCCUACGGGAGGCAGCAGUGGGGAAUAUUGCGCAAUGGGCGAAAGCCUGACGCAGCGACGCCGCGUGAGGGAUGACGGCCUUCGGGUUGUAAACCUCUUUCAGCAGGGACGAAGCCUCACGGUGACGGUACCUGCAGAAGAAGCACCGGCCAACUACGUGCCAGCCGCCGCCGUAAGAC